GGAGGCGUGGCAGAGCCCGGUUGAAUGCGCCAGUUUCGAAAACUGGUAGGGGUGCAAGCUCCUCAGAGGUUCGAAUCCUCUCGCCUCCGCCA
rnacentral:tRNA from 1 species